UACGUAGGGUGCGAGCGUUGUCCGGAAUUACUGGGCGUAAAGAGCUCGUAGGUGGUUUGUCGCGUUGUCCGUGAAAACUCACAACUCAAUUGUGGGCGUGCGGGCGAUACGGGCAGACUGGAGUACUGCAGGGGAGACUGGAAUUCCGUGGUGUAGCGGUGAAAUGCGCAGAUAUCAGGAGGAACACCGGUGGCGAAGGCGGUUCUCUGGGCCUUACCUGACACUGAGGAGCGAAAGCGUGGGGAGCGAACAGG
rnacentral:rRNA from 1 species